GCUCACGCUAGUAUGCUUGAUGGCAUGGUAGAAAAUUGUUUUUUAGGGUGAACCUCCGCUUUAAAUCAAGUUGCGAGGGCAAAUCGAUAAAAAUUUUGACCAAAUCGUUUUUUUUUUUGUUUUUUUUUCAUAGGUCGGCGCUCCGCGGACUAGGCCGAAACCACGGCCUCGCCUAAAAAUCCUGCCUGCAGCUGCCUGGGAAAAGGUAGGACGCUGCUUGCUGCCUUUGUCCAGGAUCGCUGCGAGCUGCGGGCAGGGUUUUUUAGGCGAGGCUUCGGCCUAGUCCGUGGCCUUUUCCCAGUAUCGCGGCGGACUAGGCCUAAAAAACGUAGGACUGGCGCGGUGUCCAUGGGGAAAAAAAACCUUGAUUCGUAUCGUGAAUCGAUUUUUUUUUUUUUAAAUCGCAGAUUUAUUUUUUUCCUUAAAUCGCCCAGCCCUAGAGAGCACACAAACACAUGGCUAAAGGGGUGGUGUUGGAUCAGAAGAAAGGAGGGCCAAGGGCCGCACUCACAGUGGCGAAGAGGCGGUGACCGACCACACACAGAAAGAAUAGAGGAGGCAGUGACAAACAGCGCUCAUAGAGGAGAGGGGGAUAUCAUCUGCAGCACUUCCAUCUAAUCUGCAGCCCUGUGCUUCUUCUGCUCUACCCCUAGGAAGGACUACUAAUCCCAGAACCCCCCCAUCCCCGCCUGCUAUUCCUGGGAAUUAAACUACAAGUACACCUCUGCAGAAGAAGUAGAAACGAUGUUGGUGCAGCCUGCUGCUGAUAGUGUAUGGGCUCAGGGGGUACAAUAUACAGGAUCCAGUUUAGUGCAUAGGAACUUUGUGCAGGGGGUUAGUGCUGUGCUGUGACUCCAACCCAUAAAUUGGGCUUCAGCCUAGGGUGGAGCUACAAACAGCAGAAACAGAAAAAAAAAAACCUGUCCUUUUACAGCAGAAUGCAGCCACGGGCAAGAAUAGGAGCAAGUUCUCCAUGAAUUUGGUCCCCUGAAGGACACCACAAGGAUGUAAAACUAUGUUGAUCGUUCUUUAAAAGAAAGGCAAAGCAGAGGAUAUGUUUCGCUUGGUAGCUUCCGCUGGCCAAUUAGAUGAGGAGUGUUAUCGCUGAAGAUUUUGUGUCCUCUUUGUGAUCUGAAGAGUCAGAAGUAGCUUCCGCUGGCCAAAUAGAUGAGGAGUGUUAUCGCUGAAGAUUUUGUGUCCUCUUUGUGAUCUGAAGAGUCAGAAGUAGCUUCCGCUGGCCAACUAGAUGAGGAGUGUUAUCGCUGAAGAUUUUGUGUCCUCUUUGUGAUCUGAAGAGUCAGAAGUAGCUUCCGCUGGCCAAUUAGAUGAGGAGUGUUAUCGCUGAAGAUUUUGUGUCCUCUUUGUGAUCUGAAGAGUCAGAAGCUUCCGCUGGCCAAUUAGAUGAGGAGUGUUAUCGCUGAAGAUUUUGUGUCCUCUUUGUGAUCUGAAGAGUCAGAAGUGAUGAAGACUGGCCAUACAAGACAAGAUCUGUUUUUGGGGCUCAAUAGAAGUUUUUUAGGUGCCAAACUGUAAUGAACAAAAGAAAAGAUGGUGGCUUGGGAAUCCCACUUAUAAAGCAUGUGGCAGUACCAUGGUGUCACCAAAAGAGAUUGUACCAAAAAAGACUUGGACUCCACAACAGCUACUGUCCAAAAAUGUUAUUUUAUUAAUGUAAUUAAAAUGUCAUAGCAAAAAAAUAUAAAUAGAAAAAGAGAAAAUAUGAAUCGGGGCCCACUUGAUCCAACCCGACCCCCUGAGCACCCAUCCACAACCACCACUCCCAUAAAUCCCCCCCAAAACGCCAAGAACCACCACUCCACCAUUCAAGGCUCCUCCCCCCAGAAGGACCCCACAAUGACCCGAUACUUUGGAAUGUGCAAUAACAGUGGCCGUUCCAAGAAAAAGAAGCUAAAUGGCUAAUGACACCACAAUGGGUGGAGUUAAGUCCCUCAAGAGCUCGCUAUUCGAACAGCCACAACCAAAGCAGGACUUGGGCCCCUAAAAAAACUAAUUUGGCUAACCUGUUAUAUAUUGCUCCGAACCUACUUAUGAGUAGGGCUUGAGUCUUGUUGAUGUUGUCUGGUUAGUCAGUGAUUGAUGAAAGAACUUUGAAUUGUGUUUGCCCUUCACAACGAAGUGUAUGACCUCUGGAUCUUUCAGAAUAAAGGAAAGUUCUAAGCAAA